CUAUCAUUAGAAAAGUCAGCAAUACCAAGUGUUGGUGAAAACAUGAAGAACUAGAACUCUCAUAUAUCGCUACUGGGAACUGAAAAUAUCCUGGAAAACUGUUUAGCAGUUUCUUAAACAGUUAAACAUAAUCUCACUCCUCAAUAUUUACCCAAGAGAAGUGAAAAUUUGUGUUUACACAAAAAUCCACAGGCAAAUGUUUAUAGUGGCUUUAUUCAUAAUUGCCUAAUACUGAAAACAACCUACAUGUCUUUCAGCUGAUACGUGGAUAAACAAAGAGCAAUACAUCCAAACAGUGGAAUACUACACAGCAAUAAAAAGGGAAUAAACUGACACAUGCAAAAACAUGGAUUAAUCUCAAACGUCUUAAGCUAAGUGUCAAAGGUUGAAUUGUGUCCUCCCAAAAAUAGUAAGUCCUAACUCUCUAACACUUCAGAAUGUGAUCUUAUUUGGAAAUAGGGUCACUGCAGAUAUAAUGUCUUAAGAUGAGGUCAUACUCAAAUAAGGUGGGCCCUUAGUCCCAUAUGACUGAUGUCCUUAUAAAGAGACACACAGGAAAAAUGCCAUGCAAUGAGAGGUGGAGAUUGGAGUUACGCAGGCACAAGGUAAAAAAAUGCCAAGAUUGCUGGUGACACCAGAAGCUAAGAGAAAGGAAUGGAACAGAUUCUUCCUGGAGCCUUUGGGAAAGCAUGGUCCUUCCGACAAUAUAAUUUUGGACUUCCAGCAUCCAGAAUGAGACAAUACUUUCUUUUAUCUUUUCUUUUUCUUUUUUUUUUUUUUUUUGAUACAGUCUCGCUCUGUCUUCCAGGCUGGAGUGCAGUGG
rnacentral:lncRNA from 10 species